rnacentral:rRNA from 1 species
AUUGAACGCUGGCGGCAGGCCUAACACAUGCAAGUCGAGCGGAUGAAGGGAGCUUGCUCCUGGAUUCAGCGGCGGACGGGUGAGUAAUGCCUAGGAAUCUGCCUGGUAGUGGGGGAUAACGUCCGGAAACGGGCGCUAAUACCGCAUACGUCCUGAGGGAGAAAGUGGGGGAUCUUCGGACCUCACGCUAUCAGAUGAGCCUAGGUCGGAUUAGCUAGUUGGUGGGGUAAAGGCCUACCAAGGCGACGAUCCGUAACUGGUCUGAGAGGAUGAUCAGUCACACGGGAACUGAGACAGGGCCAAGACCCAUACGGGAGGCAGCAGGGGGGAAUUUGGGACAAGGGGCGAAAGACUGAUCCAGCCAUGCCGGGGGUGUGAAGAAGGUCUUCGGAUUGUAAAGCAUUUUAAGUUGGGAGGAAGGGCAGUAAGUUAAUACCUUGCUGUUUUGAGGUUACCAAAAGAAUAAGCCCGGGCUAACUUCGUG